UACAGAGGGUGCGAGCGUUGUCCGGAAUUACUGGGCGUAAAGGGCGCGUAGGCGGCCUGAUAAGUAGGGGGUGAAAUUCCGUGGCUCAACCACGGAACUGCCUUCUAGACUGCCAGGCUUGAGCACGGUAGAGGCAGAUGGAAUUCCCGGUGUAGCGGUGGAAUGCGUAGAGAAUCGGGAAGAACACCAGUGGCGAAGGCGGUCUGCUGGGCCGUUGCUGACGCUGAUGCGCGACAGCGUGGGGAGCAAACAGG
rnacentral:rRNA from 1 species